rnacentral:tRNA from 1 species
GGGUAACCCCGGCCGAAGCCUCUGUAGGGUCUUCCAAACUGAUUACGCGGGUUCGAUUCCCGUCAUCCCCUCCA